CUGGCAGACAGUGAAGAAAAGAGGAAGUAAUUCCCAGAAGGCUGGAGGAUGGAUUUAGAUCUCUGUUUCGUAAACAGAGAGGGGGAAUAAAAUUGAGCAAACUCUUCAGACAGACAGGGCCCUCCCUCUUGUGGAAGCUGUGCCUCCGAACAACAACAACAACAACAAAAAAGCAGAGCUAGAAGGGAAAAGCAAAAGCCGUCGUCGCUGAUUGUCGUAAAGGUGAGGAAGCUGACCUUAGAGGCCCAGUAACAAAAAGUGAUAGAGUUGGACAUUUCUCCAAGCAAAGGCGAAUGAUUCCUCUAUGUUUGGUUUACUCUUCCAUCCAUAUGCGUUAAGCCCUGAGCCGCAUUGCAGAAGAACCUUCCUGGCUGUGGCAGCUCUGCCCUGCUCUGUCCUCUCAGUGAGAAGAGCAGGGGUGAGGGAGAGGACGGGAGACUCUCCAGGGACACAGACAGACCGAUCGCCAGUGUGGGAAGGCUGUCUAACCUGUGGUGCUCUAAGCCAUUACCUCACCUCCUCAUUCAUGGUGAGAAUGCUUGAUUGCAGAAGUCAAGGUCAACACCGAAGUACACUUCCUCUAGAGAAGCAUUUCUUUGUGCCAUUCAAAGUCACCCAUUAAACCCUUUGGCAACCAAAGUAUUGGAGCCUUUCCUAAGGCUGCUGGAAAGUUCCUUAGAAUCAUAGAUGGGAUUCUGUGGAGUGCCUGGCUCUGGUCAGGAAGUCUAAGGCAAGUAACCUAGUCAGGGGUUGCAAACGCCUGAGGCCAGGGGCUGACAUACUGACUCUAACUCAAGAGACUCAACACCCACAACAGUGUGAGUCUCUGCAGACAUCUGUCCUCACCAUUUCUGUUCCAGUGUUGGCAUUUUCAGUUGUAUGCAACAAAUGCAGGGGUGUUUGAAAUUCAGAAAGGCUCCGUGGCAGCACUGGUGACAGGCAAGACAGAAAAGGGACACAAGUUGACCUGGUCCAUGAGUCUCAAGUAAAGCCAAGAGAGGGCACUGCAGGCAGAGGGGCCAACUGUGCAUGGCACAGGGAUGAUGUGCAAUUCUCUCAAAUGAAGUAGAACUGCUUAUGCUGUCGUCAGUCAUAAUGACUUUUGGGAAAGAUAACCACAUCGGCCUGUGCACGGUCUCCAUACAAGGUCUCAGGCAUGUCCAUUCUUAUAAAAGUGUGAGCAGACACAUAGAUCUGAGUG